GCAAGUCGAACGGGAAGCUCGUUUUCGAAUGAGUGGAGAGUGGCGCACGGGUGAGUAACACGUAACUGAUCUGCCCUAGAGAGGAGGAUAACUACUGGAAACAGUAGCUAAAACUCCAUAAGCUCACGUUUUUUAGAAAGAUGUGAGAAAAACUCCGGUGCUCUAGGAUGAGGUUGCGUCCCAUCAGCUAGUUGGUAGGGUAAAGGCUUACCAAGGCAACGACGGGUAGGGGACCUGAGAGGGUGACC
rnacentral:rRNA from 1 species